rnacentral:rRNA from 3 species
UUGCCAGCGAUUAGGUCGGGAACUCAAAGGAGACUGCCAGUGAUAAACUGGAGGAAGGUGGGGAUGACGUCAAGUCAUCAUGGCCCUUACGACCAGGGCUACACACGUGCUACAAUGGCGCAUACAAAGAGAAGCGACCUCGCGAGAGCAAGCGGACCUCAUAAAGUGCGUCGUAGUCCGGAUUGGAGUCUGCAACUCGACUCCAUGAAGUCGGAAUCGCUAGUAAUCGUGGAUCAGAAUGCCACGGUGAAUACGUUCCCGGGCCUUGUACACACCGCCCGUCACACCAUGGGAGUGGGUUGCAAAAGAAGUAGGUAGCUUAACCUUCGGGAGGGCGCUUACCACUUUGUGAUUCAUGACUGGGGUGAAGUCGUAACAAGGUAACCGUAGGGGAACCUGCGGUUGGAUCACCUCCUUACCUUAAAGAA